UCGGGUGUGGUGUACGGAACACCGCGCGUUUCCUUGGAGAAGACACGGCGAAUGAUAACGCGCAGUCCGGGGUUCGACUCCCCGCACUCGAA